UUAAAAACCAUGAAGAGGAAAAGUAGGUAUGCUUUUUUCCGUUACAGAGAGCCGGAAAGCUGAGAACCGGCACGGAGUGGUCUACUGAAGUUCACCUUGGAGUUGCUUGCUGAAAUCCGGAUGAGUUCAUUUGGUUAGUAGGCGGAGCCGGAGACCUUUACCGUUAUCAGCGAAGGGGAGUAUCGGUGCUUAAGCCUGUACUUUAUGAGGUGAUCUGCCGUCUGGCGGAUAACAAAGGUGGUACCGCGAGAUGAACUCUCGUCCUUUUA
rnacentral:ncRNA from 1 species